CCUACGGGAGGCAGCAGUGAGGAAUAUUGGUCAAUGGGCGCUAGCCUGAACCAGCCACGCAGCGUGAAGGAUGACUGCCCUAUGGGUUGUAAACUUCUUUUAUAUGGGAAUAAAGUGCAGUAUGUAUACUGCUUUGCAUGUACCUUAUGAAUAAGGAUCGGCUAACUACGUGCCAGCAGCCGCGGUAAUACGGAGGAUCCGAGCGUUAUCCGGAUUUAUUGGGUUUAAAGGGAGCGUAGGCGGGUUGUUAAGUCAGUUGUGAAAGUUUGCGGCUCAACCGUAGAAUUGCAGUUGAUACUGGCAUCCUUGAGUACAGUAGAGGUAGGCGGAAUUCGUGGUGUAGCGGUGAAAUGCGUAGAUAUCACGAAGAACACCGAUUGCGAAGGCGACCUGCUGGACUGUAACUGACGCUGAUGCGCGAAAGUGUGGGUAGCAAACAGGAUUAGAUACCCCGGUAGUC
rnacentral:rRNA from 1 species